GACGAACGCUGGCGGCGUGCUUAACACAUGCAAGUCGAACGUGAUUUUUAUGGAAAUUCUUUCGGGAAUGGAAAUGAAAUGAAAGUGGCGAACGGGUGAGUAACACGUGAGCAACCUACCUUACACAGGGGGAUAGCCGUUGGAAACGACGAUUAAUACCGCAUGAGACCACAGAAUCGCAUGAUAUAGGGGUCAAAGAUUUAUCGGUGUAAGAAGGGCUCGCGUCUGAUUAGCUAGUUGGAAGGGUAAAGGCCUACCAAGGCGACGAUCAGUAGCCGGUCUGAGAGGAUGAACGGCCACAUUGGAACUGAGACACGGUCCAAACUCCUACGGGAGGCAGCAGUGGAGAAUAUUGCACAAUGGGGGGAACCCUGAUGCAGCGACGCCGCGUGAGCGAAGAAGGUUUUCGAAUCGUAAAGCUCUGUCCUAUGAGAAGAUAAUGACGGUAUCAUAGGAGGAAGCCCCGGCUAAAUACGUGCCAGCAGCCGCGGUAAUACGUAUGGGGCGAGCGUUGUCCGGAAUUAUUGGGCGUAAAGGGUACGUAGGCGGUUUUUUAAGUCAGGUGUGAAAGCGUGAGGCUUAACCUCAUUAAGCACUUGAAACUGGAAGACUUGAGUGAAGGAGAGGAAAGUGGAAUUCCUAGUGUAGCGGUGAAAUGCGUAGAUAUUAGGAGGAAUACCGGUGGCGAAGGCGACUUUCUGGACUUUUACUGACGCUCAGGUACGAAAGCGUGGGGAGCAAACAGG
rnacentral:rRNA from 1 species